CACGGGUAUGUAUUGUAGCAGGGUAAUCAUUUACGUAUCCGAGAAUAUUUGCAUAUCCGACGCAGUGAAAUAUGUAAAUCAAUGAAUGUAUUAAAAUGGACCAAACCAGCUACAAAAAACCCCGCAAAUAUAUGGUCUGAUAAUUGGUCUAAUAAUGUUUUUCUUUGAUGAUAUCCCAUCAACUCUACUGUCUGUAAACCUUCUACAUCAGUUAAAUUGAUUAAUUCAGUAAAAUAUACCCAUAAGAACAUUAUAAUGUACCCCCC